rnacentral:rRNA from 1 species
AUUGAACGCUGGCGGCAGGCCUAACACAUGCAAGUCGAGCGGAUGAGUGGAGCUUGCUCCAUGAUUCAGCGGCGGACGGGUGAGUAAUGCCUAGGAAUCUGCCUGGUAGUGGGGGACAACGUUUCGAAAGGAACGCUAAUACCGCAUACGUCCUACGGGAGAAAGCAGGGGACCUUCGGGCCUUGCGCUAUCAGAUGAGCCUAGGUCGGAUUAGCUAGUAGGUGAGGUAAUGGCUCACCUAGGCGACGAUCCGUAACUGGUCUGAGAGGAUGAUCAGUCACACUGGAACUGAGACACGGUCCAGACUCCUACGGGGGGCAGCAGUGGGGAAUAUUGGACAAUGGGCGAAAGCCUGAUCCAGCCAUGCCGCGUGUGUGAAGAAGGUCUUCGGAUUGUAAAGCACUUUAAGUUGGGAGGAAGGGCAGUAAGUUAAUACCUUGCUGUUUUGACGUUACCAACAGAAUAAGCACCGGCUAACUUCGUGCCAGCAGCCGCGGUAAAAC